CCUGUAGAACCACUGUGGCACCGCUACUGCGUGCCGCGCCCGUCGAGCAUUGCGUUGCUGCAUUGCGCCCCACCGACUCCACUAUGUUGAAGAAAUUCGACAAGAAGGAUGAGGAGUCAGGUGGAGGCUCCAACCCAUUCCAGCACCUUGAGAAGAGUGCCGUACUCCAGGAGGCCCGUGUAUUUAAUGAAACUCCCAUCAACCCUCGGAAAUGUGCUCACAUCCUCACCAAGAUUCUUUAUCUCAUAAACCAGGGGGAGCACCUGGGGACCACGGAAGCGACCGAGGCCUUCUUUGCCAUGACCAAGCUCUUUCAGUCCAAUGAUGUAAGUGCCUUGACCCAGCUUUCCUUGAGAGGUGGCAGCUGUAACAAUGUGGUGGGAGGGCCAAAGAGAGCUGGCCCCACCAGUCAGUGUGGGCUGCCUUUGUGGAGAUAGGAGGUAUCUUCUCCCAACCCUGGCCCUUGGUGAGCCCAGGCUGAUAGGGCUUUUCCCACCUAUCUCCCAGCCCACACUCCGUCGGAUGUGCUACUUGACCAUCAAGGAGAUGUCUUGCAUUGCAGAGGAUGUCAUCAUUGUCACCAGCAGGCAAGUCAUGGGGUUGUGGGUGGCUCUUCUGAUGGGUUCCAUUGACAGACCAUUUUUUUCUUGUGUGUACCAGACAGUGAGACUUGGUUGCAUAUUGCCAGCUGCCCACCCCAUGGCAGCUUCCCCUUGACUGCUGCCCACCC
rnacentral:sRNA from 1 species